CCUACGGGCGGCAGCAGUGGGGAAUAUUGCACAAUGGGCGCAAGCCUGAUGCAGCCAUGCCGCGUGUGUGAAGAAGGCCUUCGGGUUGUAAAGCACUUUCAGCGGGGAGGAAGGCGUUAAGGUUAAUAACCUUGGCGAUUGACGUUACCCGCAGAAGAAGCACCGGCUAACUCCGUGCCAGCAGCCGCGGUAAUACGGAGGGUGCAAGCGUUAAUCGGAAUUACUGGGCGUAAAGCGCACGCAGGCGGUCUGUCAAGUCGGAUGUGAAAUCCCCGGGCUCAACCUGGGAACUGCAUUCGAAACUGGGAGGCUAGAGUCUAGUAGAGGGGGGUAGAAUUCCAGGUGUAGCGGUGAAAUGCGUAGAGAUCUGGAGGAAUACCGGUGGCGAAGGCGGCCCCCUGGGCAAAGACUGACGCUCAGGUGCGAAAGCGUGGGGAGCAAACAGGAUUAGAUACCCUUGUAGUC
rnacentral:rRNA from 1 species